rnacentral:rRNA from 1 species
UGAGCCAAGUUUAGGGUUUUCUCAAAACCCAAGCAGUAUUGAACUGAAGAGUUUGAUCAUGGCUCAGAUUGAACGCUGGCGGCAGGCCUAACACAUGCAAGUCGAGCGGAUGAAGGGAGCUUGCUCCUGGAUUCAGCGGCGGACGGGUGAGUAAUGCCUAGGAAUCUGCCUGGUAGUGGGGGAUAACGUC